GGUAGGAUACCCAAGUGGCCAACGGGGGCAGACUGUAAAUCUGCUGGCUCACGCCUUCGAUGGUUCGAAUCCAUCUCCUACCACCA
rnacentral:tRNA from 1 species